rnacentral:rRNA from 1 species
AUUGCACAAUGGGCGCAAGCCUGAUGCAGCCAUGCCGCGUGUGUGAAGAAGGCCUUCGGGUUGUAAAGCACUUUCAGCGGGGAGGAAGGCGGUGAGGUUAAUAACCUCAUCGAUUGACGUUACCCGCAGAAGAAGCACCGGCUAACUCCGUGCCAGCAGCCGCGGUAAUACGGAGGGUGCAAGCGUUAAUCGGAAUUACUG